rnacentral:rRNA from 1 species
CCUACGGUGGGCAGCAGUGAGGAAUAUUGGUCAAUGGGGGAAACCCUGAACCAGCAACGCCGCGUGAGGGAAGACGGUUUUCGGAUUUUAAACCUCUGUCCUCUGUGAAGUUAAUGACGGUAGCAGUGGAGGAAGCUACGUCUAACUACGUUCCAGCAGCCGCGGUAAUACGUAGGGAGCAAGCGUUGUCCGGAUUUACGGGGGGUAAAGGGUGCGUAGUCGGCCCUGCAAGUCAGAAGUGAAAUCCAUGGGCUUAACCCGUGAACUGCUGUUGAAACUGUAGGGCUUGAGUGAAGUAGAGGCAGGCGGAAUUCACGGUGUAGCGGUGAAAUGCGUAGAGAUCGGGAGGAACACCAGUGGCGAAGGCGGCCUGCUGGGCUUUAACUGACGCUGAAGCACGAAAGCGUGGGUAGCAAACAGGAUUAGAUACCCCAGUAGUC